CUCAGGGUGAUCGAUGCAUCCAUCAUGCCGAACAUCAAUAGCGGAACACCGGUGGGACCUGCAAUGAUGAUAGGAGAGAAAGGCUCGGAUUUAAUCAAAGAGGAUUGGGCAGCACUCUAAUACUAAUAAAUAUGUCUACAAGAUAUGUGGAUAAAGUGAACGUGGGGUCGCAAGAAAUUCUCUGUGUAUGACGAUAUAAAACAUGAAAUAAUGAAAAUAGUUGAACAAGUCUAUGUAAUACUGUCUAUGUGAAGUUCGCUAAAGCCGAAGGGUACGGGUGAAUUGCGGCUGCGCAAAUCGCUAGUAAAUAUAUUAAUCAUAAUUUGUGA